rnacentral:rRNA from 1 species
UACGGGGGGGGCAAGCGUUGUUCGGAAUUCCUGGGCGUAAAGGGCUCGUAGGCGGCCAACUAAGUCAGACGUGAAAUCCCUCGGCUUAACCGGGGAACUGCGUCUGAUACUGGAUGGCUUGAGUUUGGGAGAGGGAUGCGGAAUUCCAGGUGUAGCGGUGAAAUGCGUAGAUAUCUGGAGGAACACCGGUGGCGAAAGCGGCUCACUGGACCGUCUCUGACGCUGAGGUGCGAAAGCCAGGGUAGCGAACGGG